CUGCUUAGGCAGCUGCCUCCGCAACCCGACUCCGGAUAAGCGGCAGAAAAUGGAUGGAUGGAUGGAUGUUAACAAAAAGUAGGUUUCUCUGGGGAAUCUGUGUGGAGCUUGUAUGUUCUCCCCAUGUAUGCAUGUGAAUUCUCUCCCGGCUUCCUCCCACAGUCCAAAGACAUGCAUGUUUGUCUCUGUGUUGGUUCUGUGAUGGGCCAGGAGCAGCUCUAGAACCCCUCACAACUCCACAUUUGAAUAAUCUCUUAUCUCAAGAACACAAAGUUUGUUCUCUCAAGAUAACGAGAUAAAUUAUCCUGUUAUCACGAGAAAAUUAUGUUAGAAAAACAUGUGAGCCCAGUUGCUCUCGGCUUCCGUAGAAAUCAGAUCUUGCACAUAUUUCACAAAAAACAACUUCUUCAGGGACCACAUAAAAAUCUGUUGAUUCAUGAAAAAUGACAAAUUCCAUUUCUAUAUUUUCUAUUUCCCAAAAACAUUUUUAAAAAGAAAAAUGUUUUAUUAAUUUGGUUUCUUAUAAACAGUUGAAAAUAGCUAAUCUGUAUUUAAAUUCACCUCAUUUUAGGAGCUGCUAUCUAAGAACUGAACAACAAAGAGUAAAAGUUCUCAGAAUCCUUAAAUAAGUCAUAUUGAAAUUAUUAAUCUUAAAAUCACAAAUGUUGCCUUGUAGCAGGUCUAAAUGCGGAGAGCACUUGUUACUUGUUGAGAUUUUUUUAUGGGAAAAGGCAUGAUUUGAUUUUAACUGACAUCAAACAGUGCAACAGUCACAUUCUCACCACAUGCUUCGGUUCAAACACGCCUUCUGAGGUAUGCUUCUUUUACCUGUGUGUGUGUUUAUGUUACAGUAUUUACCUCUAUUUGGACAUCAGGUAAUGUAAAGGUAAAUUCAUGCCUACUCUGUAAUAAGUCUGCAAUUUACAGAUUAUUUACGCUAAAUAAAUCUGUUGUGUUGUCUCCCAGUCUGUAACGGAGCCACAUAGACCAUGGUGACAAACAGGAGCAGGGGUGUGAACAGCAAUGACUCAAAAUGAUAAAACUGCGUUUAAAAGAUCACAGUAAUGUCAUUUAUUUGGAAAACUCUUGUUGAUAGAUUUUCUUCAGAUAAGUUUGUUUUUGUUUUUUUAUCUUUCGCUGCUUUUCCAUCAGAAAAAUUUGGACUUUAGAACACUUUCAGGCGCCCCUGUCCCCAGUGACAUUCUCUAGCUACUCCUGGGGAAUUCUAAGGUGUUCCCAGGCCAGAAGGGAGAUAAAAUCUCUCCAGUGAGUUCUGGGUCUUAUCCAGCAUAUCGGUCCAGUAGGAUGUGCCUGAAAAACAUCCAAGGGGAGGUGACCAGAAGGAAUCCUAAUCCGGUGCCUAAAACCCCUCCUAUCAAUACGGAGGAGCAGCGGUUCUACACCAAACUCCCUCUGGAUGUUUGUGCUCUUUACCUGAUCUCUGACUGAGUACGGCCACCUUGCGAAAAAGGCUCAUUUCGCCCAUUUGUAUCAGCGAUCACAUGUUUCUGACCAUUGACAAGGGUUGGUACGAGACCAGUAAAUCAAAGCUUUGCCUCUCAGCUCAGCUCUCUAUCACAUCACAGUUUUGUUUGAGGACAAGGCACAGUGGCUCAGACCAACCAGUGCCCUACAACUGUCAGCAAUGGCAGCUCAAGAAAAAGUUACCACAGUUGCUGCAGCUCAUUUCAUCUGUUUUAAAUCCACAGGGUUUUCCUAAAGGGUCACCUUUGAACAUGUAGGAUUUUCUGAACUGGUAACCUAACGGUCACAACAUAGUUGUAUGGAAGAUGUAUUAACCAAGUAGAUGAGCGACGGAAGCUAAAAUAAAAAGAAAAUGAGAGUGAAAAACAGUGUCAUGACUGAACUCCAACAUGAGUCACAUACUUGCACGACUAUUGGCAAGACGCAGCUAUAGAGCGGCUGCAUUUGUGUCAAAAAGGGGCACGUCUAUGGUAAAAACUAAUGUGAAGGUUUGUUAACAUUACAAGUUGGGACAUAUUGUCCAAUUAGAUUCAAUAGUAAAGUGUGUCCAAACUUUUGGCUGGUACUGUAUCUGCUAUAUGUGCUCCAGACCUCAUGCAGAGAUUACCUGAGGAGCUAAGUAGCAAUAACUCAGGCAGAUAGCUGUCCUUCCUGUUCCUGGUUCUGCUGAAGGAGGUUUUCUUUCAUGUUAAAAGUUUUCCUCUCAGCUGUCUCUAGUGCAGCUCAGGAUGGAGGAUUGAAUCAAACAGAAGAUUCAAUGCAAUCUACUGGUUUCUUU